CUCUAUCUGUCUGGGAAACCUCAGACAGGGAAGAGAUUUCUUGGUGCCUCUCUUGGGAAUGUCACUGAUGUCCACAGUGACUGUCACAUGCGUGUCAGUUGUUCCCUAGGAUUCCGUGACAGGCCCUCCGGGAAGAUCUCCGCGAACAACCCCCUGCCUUGGAGUCUGCAAUCCUUCCUCGAGCACACGGACGCCCGGGGUGGGGAAGCCCACAGUCUGGCAGGGCUCGCACUGGGCAGAAUAAUUGCAACGUAGUCAUGAGGAUCGGGCUAUGACCUGCCUGACUUUUCACUCCUCCCAUGAUACACCGAUGCAUACCGCAGGUGCACACUAAACGCCGAAUCUAUAGAAAGUGGAACACACCAGGACCCAGCAGAAGGCGACAUG
rnacentral:lncRNA from 1 species